rnacentral:lncRNA from 1 species
UGAAAUUACAUUGAUUCAAGUAUCCAUGUUGACAUCUAUGGCUUGAAUAAUACACAAAACAGAAACUACAGAAGGGUUCCACCCGAGACAUACUCGGUGUAGGCCAACGCAACCAAACCCAACAUCGCAAAUCUACCGUUCCACAUCUCAGCAUCAGAUGUCAUUACGCCCUCUGACCUGGAUUCCGCGCUGACCCCUUUGAAUAGUGGGAUCAAAGACGCGACAGAGAGCAGAAUACUUGUUCCGAGGAACCACGAGACUCCACCGUUAGAUAUCUGAGAAAAAAGGUCUUGGCCCUUGGACAGUUCCACUGCCAUUGCAGCGACAAAGCCUAUCAUGGCAAGCCUGCCAUUGAUCCUCUCUGGUGCGGGUCCGCUAAAUGCGAACAAAUCAAGGAAGUUUGUGCUGACCUGUUAAUCACAGUCAUACGGGCGUUUACAUUAGAAGUGGAAGCAUAAAUGCAAUCACAAAGUCCUUGCUCUACUUAAAUUGUUAAAAUUAAACAUUUCCGAAAUAAAUCCUGUACCUUUGGCUCAGGAGUAGAACCUGACUCUGCUAUCUUCUUGAUCUGGUCACCCUGCAAAUUGAUUCAAAUGUUAACACAAUUAAUCCUAAGAACCAUCACCCAAAGUAUACACACAGGAAGUCGAAAUAGAUUCCAAACUCACCAGCUUGGCCUUGCACUGCACCCGUUUGCUAGCACUGCCACGUAGUCGUGGCACAUACGUCGCAGAAAACAAGUUGCUCACUCGAGACCGGUUUUUCACCAGGCUACUGGCUACUGGAGUUGCAAGGACGGUCUGCAUGACUGUUGAUGUGGCCAUCACUUAAUUAGAAGAAUGUUUAUCACUCGAGCUGUGAUUAAGAAACUUAAUCAAUAUCUAAUCUGUGAAAGCUAUUCUAAUGCUAGAGGCAACGUUCGUAAGGGAUAUCACUACCAGUGAGUUGAAGCUGGAGCUGUUUGCUUUGUAAUGAUAAUUAAUGUAUCUGAUAAUGGUUUGGUAGGCUGUUAUAUAGCCGAUGGGGCAAGAGAGGAGAGGGCGUUUUGCUCCCACGUCAUCUAUAUCUAAUUAAAAAGCUGAUUGGAUCACGUGGCUUCGGGUGUCCUCCACAUGGUCAAGUGGGUUACGUGGCCUCCUCACAGUCACUAGUGGACCCCACCCCAUUUAAGAAUCUGAGGCCAUUGUUGUUCUAGGUUUUUCAGCUGAGCAGCGACCACGGCAUAGUAAUCGAACUGGACUCAGCCACGAUUUUACCGCAUUAAUUUGACACGUUCAAAAUAACACAGCUAAAGUAAAUCGUACUAAUGUAUAAAAUUUUUGCAAUUGGCCGACAUGUUUUUUUUCUUAAAUAUCUUUUUUUAACAUGUGGUUGAUGAUAGAUUGUGUACUUUUAUUGAAUUUUUAUUAAUAUCUAUUGUAUAUUGAUAUUUCACGUCAAGUUUAUUACAACUAAAUGUUUUUUUAGUAAUUCAAAAAUAAUGUUAAAUAAAUUCUAUAAUUAAAAUUUCAAAUAUUUACAUCACAUUAUAACUCAAUCAGAAACUCGAUAAAAAUCAUGUGCAAACCCUCAAUUUUAUUUUAUUUUUUUGCAUUGAUUUAUUUAUUUUUUAGACAAAUCAACUUAUUUAAUUCAUCAUUUUAAAAAAAAAAAUUCUUUUAAAUUUUAGCAAGUCAUUUAACAUUAAUUACUCUAUUAUCUAAUGUCAAUUUACAAUUUAUAUUCUAUAGAUUUGUAAAUGGAGAAAUAUCAAUUUUUUAUUCACAUCUCUCUCCAUAUAUUUGAAUUGAUUAUAGAUUUAUUUCCCAUUAAAACUUCUAAUGAGAAAAAAAAACAAAAAAAAAACACAAAAUAAUGCAUCUUAUGUUUAAUCAAGACACAAAACUCAACAACAAGAAUAUAGAGAGAAAUGACAUUAAUAUUUAAAAUAAAUAGAUAAAUAUUUUGAAGGUAUUUUAUUGUCAUUGCACGGGAGGACCCGGUUUUUUCAGAAGGCUACAAGAUAGCAUUUUCAUAACGUUGCAUUAAAGAAAAUUAUUCAAUUAUUAAUUAGUUACAUGUUUCAAAUUUAAGAUGAUAACUUUGAAUCUAAUUGCAUUUUUAUGUGACCUUCCACCUAAUUUCUUUCCCCUUAUGGAUUCCGAAUCUAAGAAAAGCCUAGACUAUUAGUUGUACUCGAUUGACCACUUCACAAAAUUGCGACAAAAUCCAAAACAAUUUAUGCUUUCCAUUGGUCAUGGUUAUGGCUCUCGGUAAGAGUUGCUUCUACAUUAGAUUUCCACAAGUUCAUUUAUUAAAAAAAGAUCUUUAUAGUUUUUUUGCACUGAUUUCAUUGAACAAGAAGAUAUAUUUUACUUUGUGGAGAACAAUUUAAAAGUAUCGUUUUCGGCGAGUAAAUUAAACAAAUAGAUGGUGAGUAUAAAGCUGGGGAGAAAAUGAUAGGAAUGGAAAAUCAAACCCAAUUAAUUUGCUAAUAUAGAAGGGAAUUUUGUUCGAUCUAAUUUGACAUUAUCAGUAUCAUUUAAACGAUAAUCAAAGGAUCAUGCUUGCAGUCGUUGCUAAUAAAGAAGGAGAAAGAUACAAUGUUAUAACAAGACGUUUAAUAAAACUAACAUGAUUUAUGUCAAAACAGAGAGCACAAAAAAAGGAGACAAUAAAAGGCAGACGAAGUAAAGGAAAAAAAAAAAAGUGUUUUGAGAGAGAAAGAGUGGUAGCAUGGGUUGGUGCUAGGGUUGAGAAAGGGCAAAUAGGAGUAAAUUAAUGCUAUAUUUUUUUCAAAUUUAUAAAAUCAAUCCGAGUUUAUUGAUUUUGACUGAGUUUAUUGAGUCAAAUUUAAUUUUACAAGUUUUCAAGUUUUUAGUUUGAUUUUGCAUAUUUGAUAAAUGUUGACUCGUAAAAUCGUAUGAUUUUACGAGUUAACUCAUGGUGUUAAUAAAAUUGCUUAUGAUUCUUUCGUAUUUUAUAUUUGUUUUUUAUGUUUUAAAUACUUGAUAAUUAAAAUUGUAAGUUUUAUAAAAUUUUAAGCAAAAGUAAGUUUGUGAUUUAUAACACAAUGUAUGUAUUUUAUGUAAAAUCAUUUUUUAAAGAGAAAAUUAUCCUGAGUAUCCUAUAGUUUACUUAAUUUAACACUUUGUUUUUAUUAUUUUAUGAAUUACAUAAAAUAUCAUCCAUCAAUUAAAAAGUUUAAAUCAAUUGAAAUGAUGAAAUUAACCUUGUAUAUAUUAUUUUAUAAAAACAAUUAAACAACAAUGUGAACCUUCUUUUAGACUGGCUAUAACAAACUCAUUUAAUUCAAGGUUAAACCUUAUUUUAAUUGUCUUCCAUGCAACGGAUCUAGGGUUGGUGACUAAAAUAACCAUAAUAUUGCUUUGCUUUCUUCUCUUCUCUUUGAGCUUCUCCUUCCCAUUCUCUUCUUUUUUUCGCCUUCAUCAACUCCCCUUUCACUUGCCUCCAAUUCUUAUAAUUCCAAUUCCAUGGAUUUCAAUUCCAUUAAUUUCCCAUGAAAUUCUUUUACAAAGUAUUUAUCAUUAUUUUUUCUCUCAAGAAAUCAUCAAUUCACUUUAAUUUCUCUCGAAUCCUACAUCCAAGAAACAUAAAAGAACCCAAUUAUGAGAAUCAGAUACUGAGUCGACCCAUAAAGACAAAGACAAAGGCCAUAAACUCACAAAUUAACUCAAUCAGUUGAACUAAGUUUCUUUUCAUCUUGACCCUUUCAAAACCACCUGUAGACUAAGCUAUUCAAUGUUUGAAUGAUUGUUUGGCUUACUUGAACUAUUACGAGAGUGUCAUCACCUAAAUGGAACAUUGAUAAAUCUCUUAGCGGAGCUCAGGCUAGGCAUAAUUUUAUAUUGGCCGUCAGGUCAAAUUACAUUAAAAUAAUUGAUAGAUUUGGGGUUAGUAAAUGAGUGACUCAGUUUUAUACCAAUCAACUGCGUUUUAUUUUAAGCAACAUUUUUUUGCUUUUAGGUCGAGUUUCCUUUUUCUACCGAGCUUGAAUUUGUGUCCAAUGAUAUUGAGGCUUUUAUUGAAUUUCUAAUUUAUUAUGGUAUAAUAGAUCGUUCAGAAUCAAAAUACUCUCUUCAAAAUUAAAAAUUUAGCUAGAUAAUGUGUGGUUUUUUUUUUUUUUUGCAUGUUUAUUUCCAACUUUUAGCCACUAUUUGGUUGUUAGGUUUUUGUUGAUUGUGAUUAAAGUUGGUUUUGAUUUUGAAAUAAUUUUAGCUUAUGUUGUCCAUGGAAGGACAACAAUAAUGAAGCAUGAAAGUGAAUAAAACCUAAAUUUCCAAAAGGUUUAUGGUUUGUUUGGGCCCCAAGAGUUGCAUUGUGAAUUUUAUGGAAUGGAAGUGCUUAAUAAUAAUUUGGCAAAAUAAAAAUGAAUUGAUUAGAUUUUGUAGGCAAGCUAAUGUAAUCUCCACAUAUUUUUCUUAUAAUGGCUAUUGAGUAGUUAAAGAAUUUAUGACAGUAACUUUUAGUGAUAUUUUUAUUCAUUUGAUACAUUACGGAUUCUCUAGUUAUUAAUUAAAAUAUAAUAGUAAACUUGUAAAUACUUAAUUUUUUUUGUUGAUUUUUUCUUAAUGCCAUAUAAAGUAUAGUGAACUUAUAAAGUUCACAAAGUUUUCUAUAAUUUUCAAAAAAAUAAAGGCAUAAUAUAAAAUUGAGUAAACUUCUGGAUGAUUAGGUGAUUUCUCUUUUUUAAAUAAAAUAACAUCAAAUUGAAAAUUUUUAAUUAUUGUUUUAGUUUUUUAUAUUUUCAUAUUAAAAACUUAAUAUUAUUUGAAAUGUCAUCAAUUAAUGAUUUUACCCAUAGUUAUUAAACCUGGAGCGGUGCGUUUGGUUGACUUGGGACCCGGUCGACCUGGUAGCUAGACCGAUUCGGGUAAGUUAAAAGACCAGACUAAGCAAAACCUGGCAAAACCAGGUAGAGAUCCUUUUUUUUUUUCAAAUGUGUUUUUUCAUCUAACCAAAGACCUCUUUUUUAUAUACAUUUUUAGUUGGAUAUUAACCCUUUUCAAAGUUCACUAUAUAAAUAUUAGAAAGAUUUUUUUAUUUUAUUAAUGUUGGAUUUAAAGCCCUUUAAUAUAUAUACUUUAUGUUCACAAGAAAAAAUUAUUUUUCAAUGUGGGGUAAAAAAAACCUUUUGAAGUGAUCUUUUAAACCUUAUUAUUUAUAACAUGUAUAACCUAUAUUUAUAUCGAUUGUUUUUUAAUUAUUUCAUAUGAAAUAUUAAAACUUCAAAUAUUUUUUUUUCAUUUUUCCGGGUUGACCUGAGUCGACCCGCGUAACUCGGGUCAACCCGCUUAACCCAGGACUAGGAUCCAUGGUCAGGUCAAUUUUCGAGUUAAGUUUUGUAACUAUGAUUUUACCUCUUCAGUAAUAUUUUAAAAAUAAUUUUCAAAUGCAAUGUAAUCAUAUUAUCAAAAGGAAAAUAAAUGUAUAAUUGAAAUAGUGACCUUAUAAUUCAGACGAAAAAAAGGUUAAAUCUAGUAAUUAUUUAAAUUGUUUAAAUAUUAUUCAAACUGUACUACCACCACUUAUUCUAUACAACUAGGAUGAUUUAAAACAUUUGUAAAACCACUCUUGUAUUGGCAUACAUUUAUGUUCAUAGAGAUGAACUUAGAAUUUGUUGACAGAAAAGAUCAAAAUGCACAGCCUUGUUGUCGGGUGGCUAUUACAUAAAAAUAACUUCAAAAAUAAUAUAAGUUCAAGGAUGAUUUUGUAAACAUCUCAAACUUUGAGGGCCAGUGCCACCCUUAGCCGCCCCCUAGAUUUAAGAUUUAUCUCUCCACGUGCAAGUGUUUAUUAGGCCUUUUGGCACAUUAUAUAACAUGCAUUUUAUAGGAUGUCUUGGUAUGACAUCUGAUGUCUCAUUAUUUCAACAUCAAAUGUACAAUGUUAAUUUUAACUUUUUUCUCUUUUUAAUUAAUUUAAUUAAAUACCUAAUCUUUAAAUUAACAGUGUCAACUAAAUUGAAUCUCGUAUCUUCAGUGAAAUCCACUACGGCGAAUCAAAAUGCAAAAAGGAAAAAGAAAAAGAAAAAAAAAAGAGGUUUAAAUUUGGCUGCUUUCGUUCUUACUACGCUUAUGCAUGCAGAGUUCUUUCGUAAGCAAAUAAUAAAACUGAAAACAACACAAGGAGGUUUAUGGAGACAGCUACCUGCUGACAUGCUUGUUUGCUGCGGUUACUCUUGAUGCUUCGAAGGAAGUGAUAAUUUUAGACUUUAUUUUGAUUUCUCUUCCUCCUAAAUAUCUCUAUCUUUGUUGACCUGUAGCGGGUGCGGUAUAAUAUAUCUCCUAAAUAAACUUUUUUUGUAAGUGGCCUAAACUGGAUGGGAUUUGCAUUUCAAUCUACCAUUUUCAUAAAGCGUAGUUGGUCAAACAUUUGUAAUCGGUCGCUGCAACAAAGAUCCGUGACUCGUUAGAAGUCCGAAAUAUCUUCCUAUUGAUGCACCGACGGCUUUCAAACGUGGCAUGUUCCUAGCUAGCAUAACAUAAAGAAGGAGAAGCAAAAUCUACACAAGUAUUAUUUGUAUUUUAUAUAUAUGAUUGAAAACAUAUUUUGCUACUGAAAUUACAUUGAUUCAAGUAUCCAUGUUAACAUCCAUGGCAAUAAUACAAAAAACAGGAACUACAGAAGCGUUCUACACGAGACAUACUCGGUGUAGGCCAACGCAACCAAACCCAACAUGGCAAAUCUACCGUUCCACAUCUCUGCAUCAGAUGUCAUGACGCCCUCUGACCUGGAUUCCGCGCUUACCCCUUUGAAUAGUGGGAUCAAAGACGCGACAGAGAGCAGAAUACUUGUUCCGACGAACCACGAGACUCCACCGUUAGAUAUCUGAGAGAAAAGGUCUUGGCCCUUGGACAGUUCCACUGCCAUUGCAGCGACAAAGCCUAUCAUGGCAAGCCUGCCAUUGAUCCUCUCUGGUGCGGGUCCGCUAAAUGCGAACAAAUCAAGGAAGUUUGUGCUAACCUGUUAAUCACAGUCAUACGGGCGUUUACAUUAGAAGUGGAAGCAUAAAUGCAAUCACAAAGUCCUUACUCUACUUAAAUGGUUCAAACUAAACAUUUCCGAAACAAAUCGUGCCGUAUAAUUAAUCCUGUACCUUUGGCUUAGGAGUAGAACCUGACUCUGCUAUCUUCUUGAUCUGGUCAUCCUGCAAAUUGAAUCAAAUGUUAACACAAUCCUAAGAACCAUCACCCAAAGUAUACACAGAGGAAGUCGAAAUAGAUUCCAAACUCACCAGCUUGGCCUUGCACUGCACCCGUUUGCUAGCACUGCCACGUAGUCGUGGCACAUACGUAGCAGAAAACAAGUUGCUCACUCGAGACCGGUUUUUCAGCAGACUACUGGCUACUGGAGUUGCAAGGACGGUCUGCAUGACAGUUGAUGUGGCCAUCACUUAGAACAAUGUUUAUCUGUGAAAGCUAUUCUAAUGCUAGAGGCAACGUUCGUAAGGGAUAUCAUACCAGUGAGUUGAAGCUCGAGCUAUUUGCUUUGUAAUGAUAAUUAAUGUAUCUGACAAAGGUCUGGUAGGCUGUUAUAUAGCCGAUGGGGCAAGCGAGGAGAGGGCAUUUUGCUUCCACGUCAUCUAUAUCUAAUUAAAAAGCUGAUUGGAUCACGUGGGUUCGGUUGUCCUCACAUGGUCAAUUGGGUUACGUGGCCUCCUCACAGUCACUAGUGGAUCCCCACCCCGUUUAAGAACCUGAGGCCAAUGUUGUUCUAGGUUUUCCAGCUGAGCAGCGACCACGGCAUAGUAAUCGAACUGGGCUCAGCCACGAUUUUACCGCAUUAAUUUUACACGUUCCAAAUAACACAGUUAAAUGGAAUAUAUAAUUUGUCGACAUGAUUCUUCUCUAAUGAUAUUUUAGAAGGUGAUUGAUGAUAGUUUUUGUCUUUUCACUCCUACUUCUUAUCCUAAUCUUUUCUUUGUCAACUGAGCUAAUUUCAUUCUCAUAUUUUUAUCUUUGUCUCUUUCAAUAUAUUGAAAAGUUUUUCUUUUUCUCCUCAAUUAUCUAAUAUAUUACAAAGCUUUUCUUUUCUUCUAGUUGCCUAUUAAUUUCUCACAAAAACAUUUAAAGGCAUCUUCGGAUAUUUGCUGGGAUGACACAACAUCAUUCCAAUAUCCUUUCGAAUACAAGCUAAAUAAUAUUUGAAAUGGUAAAUAUCUCAACUGAAAAUUUUCAAAUAAUAAUUGCAUUGAACUUUUCUUGAAUUCUUAUUAAUAUCUAUAUCAUGUUGCCAUCUUACAUCAAGUCUAUUGCCAUUAAUAGUUUUUUUAGAUGCCUUGUAUCUUACAAUUCAAGAAUCAAUUCAAAUCAAUUCUAAAAUUAAAAUCUCAAACAUUUACUUUUACUUCACAUUGCAACUCAAUAAGAAACUUGAUAAAAAGCAUGUGCAACCCUCAAUUUCUUUAUUAUUUUUACUUUGAUUCCUCUAUUUUUUGGAUAGAUCAACUCAUUUACUUUACUAUUUACAAGAAAUGAGUCCUUUUCAAUUUUAACAGGUCAUUUAAUAUUAAUUACUCUAUUAUUUAAUGUUAAUUUACAACUUGUAUUUUAUAGAUUUGUCAGUUAAAACAGAGAAAUACCAAAUUUUUAUUCACAUAUUUCUCCAAGUAUUUGAAUUGAUUAUAGAUUUAUUUCCCAUUGAAACUUUAAAGAGAGAAAAAAAAUUAGAGAACACAAAAGAAUGCAUCUUAUGUUUAAUCAAAACACAAAACUCAAUAGAGCAAGAACAAAGAGAGAAGUGACAUUAACAUUUAAAAUAAAUAAAUAAAUAAAUAUUUUGAUUGUUAUUUUGAAGGCAUUUCAUUGUCGUUGCAAGGGAGAACCCGAUUUCUUCAGAAGGCUACAAGAUAGCAUCUUUAUAAUGAUGCAUUAAAGAAAAUUAUUCAAUUAUUAAUUAAUUAUAUGUUUCAAAUUUAAGAUGAUAACUUUGAAUCUAAUUACAUUUUUAUGUGACCUUCUACCUAAUUUCUUUCCCCUUAUGGAUUCUAAAUAUAAGACAAGCCUAGACUAUUCGUUGUAAUCAAUUGACCACUUCACAAAGUUACGACAAAAUCCAAAACAAUUUAUGCUUUCUAUUGUUUUAGUUUUUUUAUAUUUUCAUAUUAAAAAACUUAUUAUUAUUUGAAAUGUCAUCAAUGGAUGAUUUUACUCAAUAAUAUUUUUAAAAUAAUUUUUAAAUGCAAUGUAAUCACAUUAUCAAAAGGAAGAUAAAUGUGUAAUUGGGAUAAUGAACUUAUAAUUCAGAUGAAAAAUUGUUAUAUCUAGUAAUUAUUUAAAUUGUUUAAAUAUUUUUAAACAUUAUUACUUCAGGAUGAUCAGGGUGAUUUCCCCCUUUUUAAAUCAAAUAACAACAAAUUGAAAAUUUUUAAUUAUUGCUUUAGUUUUUUCUAUAUUUUCAUAUUAAAAAACUUAAUAUUAUUUGAAAUGUCAUCAAUUGAUGAUUUUACGUCUUCAAUUAUAUUUUAAAAAUAAUUUUUAAAUGCAAUGUAGUCACAUUAUCAAAAGGAAGAUAAAUGAGUAAUUGGGAUAAUGAACUUAUAAGUCAGAUGAAAAUUUGUUAUAUCUAAUAAUUAUUUAAAUUGGUUGGAUGAUUUAAAAAAUUUGUAAAACCAUUGUUGUAUUGGCAUAUAAUUAUGUUCAUAGAGACAAAUUUAGAAUUUGUUAAUAAAAAAAACCAAAAUGCAUAGUCUUGUUGUCGGGUGGCUAUUACAUAAAAAUAACUUUAAAAAUAAAGUACAUUCAAGGAUGAUUUUGUAAACAUCUCAAACUUUGAGGAGCCAGUGCCACCCUUAGCCUCCCUCUAGAAUCAUCUCUACAUGUGCAAGUGUUUGUUAGGCCUUUUGGUACAUUAUAUAACAUGUAUUUUAUAGGAUGCCUUGGUAUAAUUGCUUUUAUCCUUGCCCUGUGAUUAUCAUUUGGAAACCUGAAAACCAUUGCUAUAUUGGUAUGCUAUCUAUUUUGAUUCUAGCCAAAUAAAUGAAUUUUUUUUCUUGUAGAUACCCUUUUCUUGGUAGAAUAUUACAUUUGCUGCCUCAUUAUUUCAUCAUCAAAUGCAAUAUCAAUUUUAACUUUUUUCUCUUUUUAACUAAUUUGAUUAAGUCUCUAGUCUUUAGAUUAUAUAAUGUCAACAAAAUUGAAUGUCAUAUCUCGCUAAACAACAUUGAAUCAUGAUUGCCAAAUUCUUUCAAAAAACAACAUGUUUUAUGAUCCAAAUCACCCAUUAUAGAUUAUGGUAUAUUUAUGUAUCGAAUCGUUGUAUGAUAUAGGGUCGGGAUCUAGAAAGACAAUGAUCCAUAUCACCCAUUAUAGAUUAUGAUAUAUUUAUGUAUUGAAUCGUUGUGAUAUGAAACCUGGAUCUAGAAAGACAAUGACCCAUAUUUUUCAAAAUAAGAAAACAAGUGAAAAAAAAAUUAAAAAAGAAAAUAGUAGUGGUAGUAUUAAACAUUAAAUAUCGAGAAUGAUACAAAACACAAAAUUAAGUGAUGGUGAUAGCUAAAAGUUAGACCCCGUUUGGGAACACGGUGCAAACCGUGUUUCCUUAAAUUUUAAAUUUUUUAUUUUGUCUAAAAUGAUUUUUUAUAUAUAUUUUUAAAUUAUUUGAUGUACUAAUGUCAAAAAUAAUUUUUAAAAAUAAAAAACUUUAUUUAAAUGCAUUUCUAAACGAAAAGUACUUUGAACCGUCAUCACUAUCAUAAUCUCAAAUAUACCCUUAAAGAGUUAAGGCAGUAUACUAAUGUUAGAAAAGAAAGCUAGACAAUAUACUAAGUUAGAGACUUGCUAUGUUGAAAUUUAAUGUUGGGCUAUAUGUUUUCUAGACCAAUACAUUAUAAUUAUAUCUACUUCAUGUUUUAAAAAUUUAGGUAACAUGCUCUUUUUAGUGGUGUCACACCUGGAUAUCGCGACGACCGAUUAAAAAUCAUCACUCGAUUGAAAUAAAAAACACAUAUCAAGCAUUUUGUUCUUUUUAGGGAAAAAAGUCUUGUUCUAGAAGAUACCACCUAGUAUUAUAGUCAUUAGGAACCCUAACUGGUCAACAAAGAUUCUAUAGUACGGGACUGGUUACCAAAAAAAAAAAGACGUUAUCACCCCUUAAGAGUCUUAUCUGAAGCAAGUUGUAUUGCUGAUUUUGUUUAAAAUUGCUAAGAGUUUGUUCUCUUUUUCCUCUUUUAUUCUUCCUUUCAUGUUCCUGACCCUGACGUCAGUGAAUAAUUCCUACGAACAUUUUCAACUCUGGUGUUGGUAAAUAUCGUGCAAAUCCAAAAAAUACGAUACUCCUGACUCUAGCGUCAAUAAAUAAUUUCGCAAAAAAUGAACUUGAAGAAGAAAUUUUCUAUGUCAUUUUUUUCUUAUUUAUCCUUUACUAUUAUCCACCCUUUUUAGAUGAAAAAAAAAAUUGCGCGACAUAUUUGCAUUUAACAAUAAUAAUCCACAGAUUGAGCACAUAGCUAAAAAAAUACAAAUACAAAGGAAAACAAAUAAAACAAAGUGUGAGGGGCCCACAAAUAAAUCAACGAAGACCUCCAAAUAUUUUUGAAAUUUUAUGUUUCAUUUGGCCAAAUAUCAAAUUAGAAUGGGUAUAAAAAUUAUGGUCAAGGCAUAAGAGUGUGUUUGGCAAAACAUACCCUUAACAAAUACAAUUUGGGCCAGCUGGGCCACAAGCCCAGACCCGGCCAACUUUUCCUUUUUAACUUUUUUUUGGGCUGGGUCUAGCCCAACCAUCGAGGCUGAUCUAAACCCAGCGGCCCGGCCCAGUUACUGGUUCAGACCAGUAACCCGACUGGUUUAAUCCUUAGCUGCAAGCGUGCGAGGGCUAUUCACGCCUCACGCACGCUACAGAUCCUAGGUAAUUAAAUAGCAAAAUGAACAGUCUUAUGAAUUAAAAUGAUAGCGGGGAAAGACAGAAGACUUACCUGGUUUGCAGAGAAUUCGCGUGAGAUUGCAGAUGCUGGACGAAGCUCCCGUCUUCAAGUUCUCUCCCGUUUCUUGUUCUUUCCUGCUCUCACUCUCUCGUCUCUUCUGUUUCUCUUUUGUUUUUGUUUUUUUUCCUCUUCUGGAUACUCUCCUUUUCUUUUCUUCCCCCUGUUCUCUCCCGUUUUUCUCCCACUGUUUUCUGCGUUUUUUCAUCUCUGUUUCCCUCCUCCCCUUCUGGCUUCUCCUUUCCCCUUUUUAUAGAGCCAGACCAUGAGAGGGAUUCUUAUCCUUAUCUUCUCUAGGAUCGUCAUCCUGUGUAGAGUGAAUCGGCUCGGUGUUCGGAUGGAACGGAAACACCAACAGUCCUGCCAUUGUUGGACUGUUGGUGGUGCUUAUCCUUGCGUCAGGGGAGAAUUUUGAGGGUGAGGGAGACCAAAACAAACCCUACGGGUUCCGUGGGUAGCUAAUGCAACCUUGAACUUAGCUUGUGUGCGGCGAUUUUUUCUUUGCAGGGGGUGCUCUCUGUUUCCAAAGGAAGAAUGUUCUCUAUUUCCAAAGGAAGAAGACAGUGAACAACAAUGACGAACGACAUCGUUUUGGACUGGAAAUGGCCAUUUCUCAACUUGGUCCUCCAAGUUUCAACAUUUUUUAAUCGGGCCCUGGAUAAAAUUUCGGUGCCUUUUACAAAAAGGUCCCUGGAACUUAAUCACUUGUAAUUUUAUCCUUAAUAAACUCAGAAAUUUAAUAUUUGUUCAACUAUAUCCCUGGUUUCAUUAAUUAAACUAAUUCUAAGCUUAAUUAAGUCCUCAAACUUAUCUAUUCUUUAAUCAAACUCCUGAUAUCAUUAAUUAAACCCAAACAAAGUUUUAUUGAACUCCAUACCAGCUAAUUUUUUUAAUUUCUUUAAAAAUUAACAUCCAAAAUCAUAAAUUAAACAUGAUUAAACCCAUCAGAGCUUUUCAUUUAUGUUGUCUUGAUCAAAAUCUUAAUUUUUCAUUCAUUUUUUUAUUUUGAAUUUUAUAUUGUUUAAAAUUGAGUUAUAAUAAGUGGACCGAGCUUUUUGGUCUCAAAUCCAUAAAUUUGUUACCAAUUGACCUACCUCAUUUGGCAAGUGUGAGAUCUAUCUUCAGUGAAAUCUACUAGGUGAAUCAAAAUCCAUAAAAAAGAAGAAAAAAAAACAGAGAAAGAGUGAUAAAACUAACUACCACACCAAACAAAUAAAGAGGUUAUGCAGGCAGUCUUUCCUAAUCAAAUAAUAAAACUGAAAACAACACAAGGAGGUUUGUGGAGACAGCUACCUGCUGAUAUGCUUGUUUGCUUGCGUGUCUGGUUUUGUAAUUACACUGUUAUGAGCAGUUAACUCCUCUUUGGUGGCUUCGAAGGAAUUGAUAAUUUUAGACUUUAUUUUGAUUUAUCAUCCUCCUACAUAUUUCUCUCUUUGUUGGCUUCGAAGAAAGAGUUCAGCUUGGCCUGUAGCGGGUGCGGUAUAAUAUAUCCUCCUAAAUAAACUCUUUUUUUUUUUUUUUAAAGCGAUUUAAAUGGCCUAAACUGGAUGGGUAUUGGAUUUCAAUCUACAUUUUCAUAAAGCGUAGUUGGUCAAACAUUUGUAAUCGGUCGCUGCAAGAAAGACCCGUGAUUCGUUAAAAGUCCGAAAUAUCUUCCUAUUGAUGCACCGACGGCUUUCAAACUUGGCAUGUUCCUAGCUAGCAUAACAUAAAGAAGGAGAAGCAAAAUCUACACAAGUAUCAUUUGUAACUUGUAUAAAUGAUUGAAAAUUGAUCUUACAUAUUUCGCUACUGAAAUUACAUUAAUUCAAGUAUCCAUGUUAACAUCUAUGGCUUGAAUAAUACACAAAACAGAAACUACAGAAGGGUUCCACCCGAGACAUACUCGGUGCAGGCCAACGCAACCAAACCCAACAUCGCAAAUCUACCGUUCCACAUCUCAGCAUCAGAUGUCAUUACGCCAUCUGACUUGGACUCCGCGCUGACCCCUUUGAAUAGUGGGAUCAAAGACGCGACAGAGAGAAGAAUACUUGUUCCGACGAACCACGAGACUCCACCGUUAGAUAUCUGAGAGAAAAGGUCUUGGCCCUUGGACAGUUCCACUGCCAUUGCAGCGACAAAGCCUAUCAUGGCAAGCCUGCCAUUGAUCCUCUCUGGUGCGGGUCCGCUAAAUGCCAACACAUCAGUGAAUUUUGUGCUGACCUGUUAAUCAUCAUCACGCGUGCGUUUACAUUAGAAGUGUAAGCAUAAAUGCAAUAAAAAAGUCCAUGCUCUACUUAAAUUGUUAAAAUUAAACAUUUCCGAAAUAACUCAUGCCGUAUAAUUAAUCCUGUACCUUUGGCUUAGGAGGAGGACUUGGCUCUGCUGACAUAUUCUGGUCAUCCUGCAAAUUGAAUCAAAUGUUAACACAAUCCUAUGAACCAUCACCUAAACUACACACAAAGGAAGUCGAAAUAGAAUCCAAACUCACCAGCUCGGCCUUGCACUGCACCCGUUUGCUAGCACUGCCACGUAGUGGCACAUACGUAGCAGAAAACAAGUUGCUCACUCGAGACCGGUUUUUCACCAGACUACUGGCUACUGGAGAAGCAAGGACGGUCUGCAUUACUGUUGACGUGGCCAUCACUUAGAACAAUGUUUAUCACUCGAUAUGUGAUUAAGAAACUUAAUCAAUAUCUAAACUGUGAAAGCUAUUCUAAUGCUAGAGGCAACGUUCAGUAAGCGAUAUCACUACCAGUGAGUUGAAGCUCGAGCUAUUUGCUUUGUAUCUGAUAGUGGUUUGGUAGGCUGUUAUAUAGCCGAUGGGGCAAGAGAGGAGAGGGCAUUUUGCUUCCACGUCAUCCAUAUCUAAUGAAAAGGCCGAUUGGAUCACGUGGCUUCGGCUGUCUUCACAUGGUCAAGUGGGUUACGUGGACUCCUCACAGUCACUAGUGGAUCCCCACCCCAUUUAAGAAGCUGAGGCCAAUGUUGUUCUAGGUUUUUCAGCUGAGCAGCGACCACGGCAUAGUAACCGAACUGGACUCAGCCACGAUUUUACCGCAUUAAUUUGACACGUUGAAUCACAUAACCUGACAAACGAAUAUUAGUAUAUACUAAAAAACUUUUGAUGUUUUCUCCAGGGAGGUAUUCUUAUAAAUUUUAUAAUUACUAAAACUUAUUUGAUUAUUAAUUUUAGUGUUUUAAAAGAUUGUUGAAGAUGCAUGUAAACUGACGGGACAUUGAUGAUUAUCAAGAUAAAAAAUUUAUGAUGCUUAUGAGUUUUUUCUUCUUUUUAUAUUUGUAUUUUAUGUAAUAAAUACUCCAUAAUUAAAUUUUUUAGUUUUAUAAAAUUUUAAGCAAAAGUAAGUGUGUGAUUUAUAGAACAAUGCAAAUAUUUUAUGUAAAAGUAUUUAUUAAAGAGAAAAUUAUCCAAAGUAUCAUAUAGUUUACUUAAUUUUACAUUUUGCUUUAAUUAUUUUAUGAAUUACUGAAAUUAUUCUUGAUCAACCAAAAAUUUUAAAUCGUUUGAAAUGAUCAAAUUAACCUCUUUGUGUUGUAAUCUCUUGAAAAUUUGUUUCUUGUUGUGUGCUAUUAUAACUAUGGUAAAAAGAUGUCGUAGAUCAAGACAUGGUCAAAGGAGUAAGGAGGAUCCUUCUUAGGAGAGAAACAUCGAGAAGCUUGUCAUAAAGGACAUUCAAAGGUAAACACAAAGUUGACUCAUGGGUUAGAGGAUAAGGAUUUAUAAAACCAAAAUUAAAAGAGUGAUCAUGUGUCCCUAGCCAAUACUGAAAACCAAAGACAUGAUCAUGAAAUAUAACCUCUUGAUUAGGAAGAGAUCAACUUUAGGAAUUUUUGGUUUCGCGUUAAAAUCCAUGAAUUCGGAGAAACUUUAUAAGUAAAGGAUUUCAUAGAAUAGAUAAAUAGGGUAAAAUGAAUUUUUUAGUAUAAAGAGGUUCUCGAAUAUAUGUGAGGGAAGUGUUGAUUGUGAUUAGAAUAAAAGGUAGAGUUUCUACUUAGUGAGAUCAGUUAAAAGGGAAAAGAGAGAGACAAGAAAAGCUGAGAAUAAUGAUUUAGAAAAGAUGAAGAAGAAACUAAGAGAACACUUUCUUCCAUUUGGCUAUGCCCAAACCCUGUACUUAAGGUUUCACAUGUUAAAAUAAAUAGACAUUAGGUCAUGGUUUUGGUUUUGUUUUCGGGAUUUGUUGUUAUAGUUGUGGUGAGUUAAGGUAUCAAGCUAGCUAAUGAGAAUGCAUUAAAAAACUAGAAAGUUACAUAGGAAAAAAUAUGUUGAUAGAGGAACUUGCAAAUAACAUGGAUGAUCUUAUUUAAAAUAACUCUGACAACAAUGAAGAGACUUUAAAUGGGAAUAGUAGUACUAUACUAGUUGUCUGAAAAAUCAUUUUGUCACCCGAUGGUGAUUAAGGAUAGAAUUGGUUGUGUUCUAAAAUCUUCCAAAUAAUAUGUACUGUUAACAACAAGAUAUGCAAUCUAAUCAUCGUCGGUGGUAGUUAUGAGAAUAUAGAGUUAGUUGAAGUGUUAGAAAAAUUACAGCUUAACAUAGAAAAACUCUUCAUCCCUUACAAACUAAUGUCGCGCCCCCCCCCCCAAAAAAAAUAUUCAAAUACACAUCCAUUGCGGGUUCGACUGGCGAAAAUUUGUUUAUUUUUAUUUUUAUUUGAUUCUUUGGAGUCGCCACCUAGUAUUUUGGUCACUAGGAACCUAACUGGUCUCAGAGAUCGGGUACGGAGACUGGUUGCGUAAAGGGAAGGUAUUAGCACCCCAAAUACGCCUUACCUAAGGUAAGCUGCAUUGUUUUAAAUGUCUGAUAAAAAAAAAACUAAAGUGUUAUUGUGUUUUUCUAGUUGUUGGUCUGUCUAUGGUUCAAGAAAAAUCCCCCUCAGUAAGGAGGUCUUUAUCUUAUCGGGUAAAAAUCCUAACCGUUCUAACGUCCAUACCAAAAUUUUACUAAUAAUAUUUAGGAAUACGUUUUACGUAUAAAUUCGUAAUCCCAAAUAUUAAAAGAAAACAAAAAGAAUGUUUUAGAAUUUUUGAAAUAUUGGCCUAGUUCUCAUGGCUUGAAUAAAUUGGUUAUUAAAGCCAAAAUGCAUGUUAAUACAUAUAUUGUUUUUUUGAAAAAAAAAAAUAAUUUGUUGUAUGAAAAUAUGAUGUUAUAAUAUUUAUGUAUAUAUAUUGGAGAGACUAGGCCGUAUUUAAAAACAAAAACAAUUUUUGAAAAAUAUUAUUUUGUUAUGCUUUGACGAAAAUCAUAAUGGGUAUAUUUUAAAAAUACUGAGCUUGUAUCCUUACGGUAUAAAAAUACAACCCAAUAUUAAUCUAUUUUGAUAAAAUAUGCAGAAAAAUCAACAACAGUUUUUAGGAAAUUUUUAGAAAAUUUUUUGAAAAGCAAAACAUUUUUUAUUCUGAAAAUCUUUGAUGUUUUGACGAAAAAACCGGGUAUUUUAAUACUGGUUUUGUAUCUUUACAAAAAAAAAUACAAACCAGAAGUAAAACAUUUUUGAAAAAAUAUGCAGAAAAAAUCAACAAUAUUUUUUUUUAGAUUUUUUUUUUUUUGUUUUUUAUACAUUAAAUACAUUUUUUAUAUAUUAUAUUAUAUAUUUUAUAUAUUAAAAGGGCUGGGCCGGCCCAAACUAAACUGGGCCGGACCCAGCCCAACAGUCGUUGGGCCGAACUCGGCCCAACAGGUACUGGGCCGAACUCGGCCCAGGUACUGGGAACUCGGCCCAAAUAAUUAACCUCGGUCUGGGCCGGACCCGGCCCAGACCGCCGGACUGGGCCAGAUCUCUCUGGCCCGGUCCACAUAGUUCUGGGCCAGACAAAGUCUGGCCCAGAGGAAAUAAAAAACGCAGCGGGGGGGAUUAUUUCCCCCCCGUCCCCAAGAACGAUGCAGGAAGAAAAAAAAAAAAAAAAAUGUGCAGGGGGAGGGACGCGUACCUGGCACGGCGGAGACGGCGGCUUGCUGGCGGUGCUGCUGCGGAGACGGUGGCAGCUUGGCUUACGGACGGCGGGUCAGGCGGUUUUCUCUCUCUCUCCUCCCUUCGGGUCUCUCUCUCUCUUUUUCUUCUUCUCUCCUCUCGGCCUCUCUCUAUUUAUAAGCAAAAAGGAAACGGUUAGUGCGCCUUCAAUCACGCAACGGCUGGUCGGCCACUCUUGCUUUCGGUGGUGGUGGUGGGGCGAGGAGAGAGAGAGAGGCGGGAAGUUUUGAAAAAAAGAAAAAAUGGUUUCGUCUCUGUUUCCGCGGGGGGAAAGGAAGAAGACGAACAGUGUCGUUCAAAACGACACCGUUCUGUCUUCUUCUUUUUUUUUUUUUUUUUAUUAUAUAUAUAUAUGAAACGGCGUCGUUUUGGAUAAAACGCGCCGUUUCAUUUAAACGGGUCAAACUUCAAAACAGUCCUCCAAAUCGGUCCCUGCCCCUCUUGUUGGCCGCCUUUUUCAUUUUGGUCCUUGGCAUCUGAUUUAUGCAAUUUAGCCCUCAAUUGAUUAAUAAACUUUCAAUUUCUUCAAUUAGGCCCCUGAAACGAAAAAUUAGCAGCCCCUCCAUUUACGCGCCUCUUCCAAUUUGGUCCCUGGUUUCGGAUUUUCACAAUUAAGUCCCUAAUUGGCCCUUAAACUUCAAUUUUUAUGCAAUUGAGCCCUGAUUUGACCCAAUAAAUUCCUAAAAAAAUAUUUUGGCCCCAGAACUUAAAUUUCUCCAAAUUAAAGCCCAAAUUGACUUAAAAAUUAAUUUUUCUUGCAAUCAAAUCUUCUAUAAAUUCAAAUAAAAAUCCGAUUAAGUCCAUAAAAAUCCAAUUAAGCCCAUAAAAAUCCAAUUAAGCCCAUAAAAAUCCAAAUUUGGGCUUUUCUCCCUAAAAUUCCAAUUUUUCUUCUCAAUAGGGCUUUCAUCCUUCAAGAAUAUACUGUCAAAAAUUCAAUCCUUGUAUUUUUAAAGUCCUUGACCAAUUUUCUGACUGUUUUCCGGGCGCUUCUGCCUCCGGUUAUUUUUCUAACCUCUUUUGGCUAUUUAUUUUAUUUUUUAGGGGGACCCAAAAAUGGGUUACAACAACUAAAAUAGCUAAAUGAAAACAACAAGGUUGUCGCACGUCACCCUCGCGCGGCUUCCGAUGGCGAUUUUUCUCGUUAUGCGUUUUUGCUUGAUUCAGUUCUUUAGAGUCGUCACCUAGUAUUUUGGUCACUAGGAACCCUAACUGGUCUUUCAGAGAUUCUAAGGCAAGGAACUGGUUGCGUAAAGAGAAGGUAUUAGCAUCCCUAAUACGCUCUACCUAAGGUAAGCUGCAUGGUGUUUGGUUUAUCUUAUAAUUGCUAUGGUGUUGGUGUUUUCUAAUCCCAUCAGUUUUUCUAUGAUAGGUUUCCUAUGAUGAACAAACUUGGACUCAAAGUCUAAAAAAAAAAAGAACCCUUGGUCAAUGUGGAUCACACCUUUAGAUAUGUCUACAAAGUACCAAGGAGAACCAAUGCAGAUCUCUUGAAAUCUGUGUUUGAUUCAAGUUAAAUUUAUUAAGAUAGAAAUCCAAGGAGAUUUCAUGUGCUGUAAAAGCUCAUCUUUCCCUUAGUAUUUCAAGAGUUUGCGACUCGUAAAUCGCAAGAAUGAAGGACAAAUAUUUAGAAAUCUAAGGAAAUUCAAAGCGCUUUAAAAGCCUCCUUUUGCCUUAGUAUUUCAUACUUUCACGGCUCGUAAACCGUGGAGUCAAAAUUUAAAAUUUUGAAAUGUCCUCAAUUAUAAUCAAGGCUUCUCUCAAAGAUGUAUGCGGAUUUAUUACUCCCAAUAAUAUUUUGGAUAUUCAUCAUUUAAAGAUUUCUUUAUCCAAAUAUUAGCGGUGAAUAAUAAAUGAAUUCCCUCCAAAAUAAGAUUUUUAUAGUUUUUGGAAUAUUGGCCAAUACCCUUUGGAGUUUUACAAACAUGUUGUAAAAUCCAGAAAUACAAGAAAACAAAUUUUUUGAUGUUUAAGAAAUCCAUGCAAAAACACAUUCUUAAAACUUCCAAUAUUUUUUGUAUAUAAAAAAAUAUUCAAAACAUGUUAGGAUAUUGGCCGUAUGCAACAAAAAAAAAAACAUUUUUUAUAUUUUCUUUGCAAAAUACACAUAGUUAAUCGCAAUUAAAAUCCAAAAACCACAUAUUAAUCAAAUUCUUAAGGCUUUAAUAAAUCAACUAUUAAAUCCCAGAAUAUAUAUAGAAACAUGUUUUUAUAUUUUCCCGAGAAAUACAACAUAAUUUUAUUUGUCCUUCAGAUACCAUAUGUCAAAUUAGAAACUUAAUUCAUUUUUUUGUCUUUUAUUGAUUUUUAUCAUUCAAAUAACAUAAAUAAAAAUACAAACACACACACAUUUUUUAUUAUUAUUUUUCUUAUACAUAUUUUACGUGUAAAACAAAUAACAAAAUUUCAAAAAAAUCAAAUACAAUUUAAUUAUUACCAAAUAAACCCCAAAAACUCCAGGAAUUGGUGGGAACAUCUUCUAGGAUCCGCCGGAAUAGUGACGGAAGGUUUCUGGGCUCGGGAACAGUGGCGCACGUUUCUCCACUAGCGGAUCCCAGAAAAAUAAUGUUAACAUAUAAGCUACUGAAAUUAUAAGUUAUAUAGAUGAUUGAAAAUUGAUCUUAUAUAAUUUGCUACUGAAAUUACAUUGAUUCAAGUAUCCAUGUUAACAUAUAAGCUUGAAUAAUACACAAAAACAGGAACUACAGAAGCGUUCUACCCGAGACAAACUCGGUGAAGGCCAGCGCAACCAAACCCAACAUCGCAAAUCUACCGUUCCACAUCUCAGCAUCAGAUGUCAUGACGCCCUCUGACUUGGAUUCCACGCUGACCCCUUUGAAUAGUGGGAUCAAAGACGCGACAGAGAGAAGAAUACUUGUUCCGACGAACCACGAGACUCCACCGUUAGAUAUCUGAGAGAAAAGGUCUUGGCCCUUGGACAGUUCCACUGCCAUUGCAGCGACAAAGCCUAUCAUGGCAAGCCUGCCAUUGAUCCUCUCUGGUGCGGGUCCGCUAAAUGCCAACACAUCAGCGAAUUUUGUGCUGACCUGUUAAUCAUCAUCACGCGUGCGUUUACAUUAGAAGU